CCAAGGUUCCUGCCAUCCAGGACCUAUAUAUAAUAGGCGGUGUCAGAGGAAAGCCCAGAAAAUUGACUCCAGUCUCCAGUCACCCAAGUCAUAGACUGUUUUCUCUGACAUGUGGACUGACGAUUUUAGAAAAAUAGGCACGGUGGGCUUCUGGUUUAUCUCCCUCUAAAAACAGAAAUAAAUCAUUCUAUAUAACAAACUGGCUUUAUUUUCAAAUUAGUAAGAAUGUCUCACCACAUGUUCAAGAAUGGCUUUUUUUCCUUUAUUCAGAUUACAAUCGCUCACUUUCGGUUAUUUGAAACGAAAUCAUCCCCGAAAUAUCGUCAUUAUUUUAAAAAGCAAUAGAAAGUCGGUUGGAAUUUCAGUUUUAUAAAAUAAACUUGUAUGUCAGCCCUGCAUUAAAGGCCAAAAAUUGGUUCAAGAAAAUUGUGAUCAAUAAAAAUAUUUACCAGUUUAAUUUAAGGACCAAAACAGUUACAGCCGUAGAGAUUGCAAAAAAGUUGGGAAGAGAUUUUCGAUGUAGCAAUUCCAUGGCACAUGGUUUAUGAAUUGACACGCAAUUGAAAGUUUAUUGUAACCUACUAUAUUAUAAGUCCACGCCAGUUUCUUCCAGGGUUAGGACUGUAACCACCAAAGGACUUGAAAAUGAGCCGGAACUGAGAGGAUCACCGAAACUAAAGAGCGUACAACCAUACCGACACCCAUCCGUGGAGAUCAGUGGACAAAGGGCUGGACAACAGGCUGCACUGAAAAAACACAUGGUUCCCAAGAAAGCGGCCACUGUAAUCAAUAUGGGGCUCAGGGCGGAACCAUUCUGUUCAUCUGACGAAGGUGCACAUGGAUCAGUCAAACUUUGAAGACCGAGAUCGAGUCAUUGAAGGCAGACCAGCAGAAAGAGCAACAUUCUCAGAGGGCAGAGAUACGGGCGACAGCUGAUGCAUAGGUCCAGAUCCAGGCGGUAUUGGCGGAGAGUCAGGAUGGCGCGUUGAAGAGGGCGAGGAACGAGAUGGAGUCACAAUCUGUGCCAGGCACACCAGUGAGCUCUGGAACUCCACCUCUGACAGGCAGUCACGUACGUGGCAGGUUCAAUCGCUUUAUUGUUGAAUUAUUUAAGGCUCCUUUCUCUUCUCUGUGCGGGAGUUCUUUUAAGAUGAACGUAGGCUAAUGAAGGCAACAAGUUGCUUCUGACUGGAACACCCUAAGUCAUCCACUUGUUAUAAUAGGAUUUGAAACAAUAGCCUACCUGUGUGUGGUCAACUAUUUCACCACUGUUUUUGCGCUGCUCUGAGACAAGCAUGGGGACUAGUCUUGAUAUAAAUCAAUGAGAUUUUUUAUUUUCACUGAAUCUCCGUUUGGGUAUUGGUUAGCCUACAAUUAGGGUGUGGAAAAAUUAGGAUUAUUUGUUGCUGUCCGUCAAUGAUUCCCAACCAAAUGUGAAGAGCUUGAGCAAUGUUGACAAAAAACCAUGAAUAUGCAUGUAUAUGUUACUCUAAGAGGUGUGCACAAUCUCACAUUCAAUGUCUAUCUGCAGAUUUUGUGAGUUUUUUGUGUGGCUUUACCAUGUUUACUAUGUACUGUAUGCUAUGUGUACUUGUUAGACUGCACAGUAGCCUUUUUUUUUACCAUGGUAGAUGCUGUGUUUUUGGUUGAUGGCCAGUAUUAAAAACUGUCAUAUGCAUUUGUGCAUUCAAUCGCUUUAUUGUUGAAUUAUUUAAGGCUCCUUCUCUUCUCUGUGCUGGAGUUCUUUUAAGAAUGAAGUAGGCUAAUGAAGGCAACAAAUUGUUGCUUACUGGAACACCCAAAGUCAUCCACUUGUUAUAAUCGGAUUUGAAGCAAUAGCAUACCCGCGUGUGGUCAACUAUUUCAGCACGGUUUCAUGCUGCUCUGAGACAAACAUAGGGACUGGUCUUGAUAAAUCAAUGAGAUUUUCUGUUUAGGUGACUUGCAGUCACCUAGUAGCCUACUCCCGACCGGCCACGUUGUACAGCGGCAACUUUUGAAAGCCAGUCUCCGCUUCCCCCGCACGUUAACAAAACUUUUUCUCUCUUUCUUAUUCUCCUAUUCUCUUCUCGCUAAAUAAAAGUUAGUGUAGUUGCCCACAUACUUCCCACCUUUCCCUCAGCUAUACAUCCACGGCUCUUCCUAUAGCAUCUGCCUCCAUCUAAUCCUUGUUCAGUGUUACUGAAUCAGGCGCUGUCUGUCAGAUGUACAAUUUUUUGUUUUUCUUGUCAUAGAAACAGCAUUAUAUCAAUCAAAUUAAUUAAGCUACAUUUCUUAAAAUCAAUCCCAUAUACUAUGUUC